rnacentral:lncRNA from 1 species
AAAGUUAGAGACAUGAAAAAAUAAAAAUAUAUCCCGCUAAAUUGAGUACUUCACCCUGGGGCAAUCUAGGCAAAAAUUAGGGAUUUUGGCAAGUAACUGCAUCCUGACAAGACUUUGUUCUAUAGUUGUCUUCUGUCAAAGAUUCUCGCUCAGUCAUCGUCAACUGAAGCUUCAAAUACAUUAGAUUCAGAGUUGGUGGAGAAAUGG